rnacentral:sRNA from 1 species
GUUUUCCGUUCCUUCCAGUCUUGUACAAUGGAUCCAAGGCGACUCCUCCGACUAGUUCCACUUUAUUCACACUGAAAUAGUGAUAAUAAAUAAAUUUUGAAUCGAUAUGAUCUGAAUUCAAAAUUUGUUUUUUUAUGCUUUCAAAAUUGAAAUUGUAUCUUUCACAGCUAUUUUACAACAAUAUUCGAACGACUUUUUAAUAAGUAAUUUUUAUUGUCAAUCGUUGCGUUUGUGCUUUUGAAAAUUGUGACAUUUUAUUUUUUCUAGCAGGAACUUUGAUACAAAUUAUUAAUCUCCUAGUUCAGAAAAAUGCAAGUUUAACAUUUGUGUAAAACUCAUAUCAUACCUGUAUGCAUGCCGUCUUUGUUCUGGGUUAUGAUGUUGUGG